rnacentral:rRNA from 1 species
AUGAGUGUUGAGUGAUAGAUGGUUUCCGUUCUUUAGUGCUGAAGUUACCGCAUUCACCAUUCCGCCUGGGGAGUACGGCGGCAAGGCUAAAACUCAAAGGAAUUGACGGGGCCCCCCACAAGCGGUGGAGCAUGUGCUUUAAUUCGAAGCAACGCGAAGAACCUUACCAGGUCUUGACAUCCUCUGAAAACCCUAGAGAUAGGGCUUCUCCUUCGGGAGCAGAGUGACAGGUGGUGCAUGGUUGUCGUCAGCUCGUGUCGUGAGAUGUUGGGUUAAGUCCCGCAACGAGCGCAACCCUUGAUCUUAGUUGCCAUCAUUAAGUUGGGCACUCUAAGGUGACUGCCGGUGACAAACCGGAGGAAGGUGGGGAUGACGUCAAAUCAUCAUGCCCCUUAUGACCUGGGCUACACACGUGCUACAAUGGACGGUACAAAGAGCUGCAAGACCGCGAGGUGGAGCUAAUCUCAUAAAACCGUUCUCAGUUCGGAUUGUAGGCUGCAACUCGCCUACAUGAAGCUGGAAUCGCUAGUAAUCGCGGAUCAGCAUGCCGCGGUGAAUACGUUCCCGGGCCUUGUACACACCGCCCGUCACACCACGAGAGUUUGUAACACCCGAAGUCGG